rnacentral:rRNA from 1 species
GACGAACGCUGGCGGCGUGCCUAAUACAUGCAAGUCGAGCGGAGUUAGAGAAGCUUGCUUCUCUAACUUAGCGGCGGACGGGUGAGUAACACGUGGGCAAUCUGCCCGUAAGACUGGGAUAACUCCGGGAAACCGGGGCUAAUACCGGAUAAUCCUGACUCUCUCCUGAGAGUCAGUUGAAAGAUGGUUUCGGCUAUCACUUACGGAUGAGCCCGCGGCGCAUUAGCUAGUUGGUAGGGUAAUGGCCUACCAAGGCGACGACGCGUAGCCGACCUGAGAGGGUGAUCGGCCACACUGGGACUGAGACACGGCCCAGACUCCUACGGGAGGCAGCAGUAGGGAAUCUUCCGCAAUGGACGAAAGUCUGACGGAGCAACGCCGCGUGAGUGAAGAAGGUUUUCGGAUCGUAAAACUCUGUUGUUAGGGAAGAACACGUACGAGAGUAACUGCUCGUACCUUGACGGUACCUAACCAGAAAGCCACGGCUAACUACGUG